CCUACGGGUGGCAGCAGUGAGGAAUAUUGGUCAAUGGCCGGAAGGCUGAACCAGCGAAGUCGCGUGAGGGAAGAAGGAUCUAUGGAUGGUAAACUUCGUUUGUAGGGGAGUAAAGGAAGACACGUGUGGAUCUUUGCAUGUACCCUAUGAAUAAGCAUGGGCUAACUCCGUGCCAGAAGGCGCGGUAAUACGGAGGAUGCGAGCGUUAUCCGGGUUUAGUGGGUUUAAAGGGUGCGUAGGUGGUUUUUCAAGUCAGCGGUGAAAGUUUGUGGCCCAGCCCCCAAAUUGCCGUUGAAACUGGAAGCCUUGAGUGUGUUUGAGGUAGGCGGAAUGCGUGGUGUAGCGGUGCAAUGCGUAGAUAUCACGCAGAACUCCGAUUGCGAAGGCAGCUUACUGGGCCAUACCUGACACUGAGGCACGAAAGCGUGGGGAUCAAACAGGAUUAGAUACCCCUGUAGUC
rnacentral:rRNA from 1 species